rnacentral:misc_RNA from 1 species
CAAAUGUGGGUACAGUCAGACCCACGGGCCCGCCUUUUAGCCAGCCUUCCCCUUUUGGGUCCAGACCACCUCCUGCGUCAUUGCCUUCUGCAGGAAGUGGUGUAGUUAUGGGCCCUUCCUCUGGGGCACCAUCUUAUGGAUCACUUGCACCACGCCUGGGUGCUCACCCAAGUCCAAUUGCAUCUUCCACUACACCUUCAUCUGUAACCCCUUCAGUCUCAUCAGGUGGUUUAGUCAGUAACGGGCCACAUGCACCACCUUUCCAUGGAGGGCCACGGUUUCCUCCAUCUGGCGCUGCCCCUCAACCCCCACUGAUGGGUCCUCCAACAGCUGGGGCAGCUCGGGUACUUCCUCAAGCACCAAGCAUGCGUCCCUUAAUGGGGAGUUCUGGGACCAGUGCUCAACAGCGAUCUCCAUUUUCAGCAGCACCACAAGGGGCACCAUCAUAUUCAGCACCACCGCAAGGGAUGCCAUCAUUUUCUGCACCACCUCAGGGGAUGUCACCACCAGCAGGUUUUCCUUUUGGGCAACAGACGCAAACCCAGCCAGUGGCUCCACCUCCAAUUCCUGGUUCUGCACCUCCUACAAUGUUUGGAAUGCCACCACCUCCACCACUACCAAAUCAAAUGACUGCUAUAUCUCCAGUUGUUGGACAAACAGGAGGUUCUUUGGCAGGAUCAUCAAAGAUUGAUCCCAAUCAAAUUCCACGACCCAUACCAGGUUCCUCUGUGAUCCUGCAUGAUACUCGCCAGGGCAAUCAAGCUAAUCCACCUCCGCCUGCUACAAGUGAUUACAUUGCUAGGGACACUGGGAAUUGCAGUCCACGCUACAUGAGGUGCACAAUCAAUCAGGUCCCAUGCACUGUUGAUCUUUUGACAACAUCUGGUAUGCAGCUGGCUUUGUUAGUCCAACCUUUGGCCCUUCCUCAUCCAUCUGAGGAGCCCAUUCAGCUUGUGGAUUUUGGAGAAAGUGGUCCUGUUCGCUGUUCUCGUUGCAAAGGCUACAUAAAUCCUUUCAUGAAGUUCAUUGAUCAAGGAAGGCGGUUCAUCUGUAAUUUGUG